rnacentral:rRNA from 1 species
UACGUAGGGUGCGAGCGUUGUCCGGAAUUAUUGGGCGUAAAGAGCGUGUAGGCGGCUUGGUAGGUCUCGCGUCAAAACCUGAGGCUCAACCUCAGUUCGCGUGGGAAACCACCUAGCUAGAGUCCGGAAGAGGAGAACGGAAUUCCAGUGUAGCGGUCGAAAUGCGCAGAUAGUUGGGAAGAACACCAGUGGCGAAGGCGGUUCUCUGGGACGGUACUGACGCUGAGACGCGAAAG